AGAGUUUGAUCCUGGCUCAGGACGAACGCUGGCGGCGUGCCUAACACAUGCAAGUCGAACGGAGAAUUUUAUUUCGGUAGAAUUCUUAGUGGCGAACGGGUGAGUAACGCGUAGGCAACCUACCCUUUAGACGGGGACAACAUUCCGAAAGGAGUGCUAAUACCGGAUGUGAUCAUCGUGCCGCAUGGCAGGAUGAAGAAAGAUGGCCUCUACAAGUAAGCUAUCGCUAAAGGAUGGGCCUGCGUCUGAUUAGCUAGUUGGUAGUGUAACGGACUACCAAGGCGAUGAUCAGUAGCCGGUCUGAGAGGAUGAACGGCCACAUUGGGACUGAGACACGGCCCAAACUCCUACGGGAGGCAGCAGUGGGGAAUCUUCCGCAAUGGACGAAAGUCUGACGGAGCAACGCCGCGUGAGUGAUGAAGGAUUUCGGUCUGUAAAGCUCUGUUGUUUAUGACGAACGUGCAGUGUGUGAACAAUGCAUUGCAAUGACGGUAGUAAACGAGGAAGCCACGGCUAACUACGUGCCAGCAGCCGCGGUAAUACGUAGGUGGCGAGCGUUGUCCGGAAUUAUUGGGCGUAAAGAGCAUGUAGGCGGCUUAAUAAGUCGAGCGUGAAAAUGCGGGGCUCAACCCCGUAUGGCGCUGGAAACUGUUAGGCUUGAGUGCAGGAGAGGAAAGGGGAAUUCCCAGUGUAGCGGUGAAAUGCGUAGAUAUUGGGAGGAACACCAGUGGCGAAGGCGGCUUACUGGACGAUGACUGACGUUGAGGCUCGAAAGCGUGGGGAGCAAACAGGAUUAGAUACCCUGGUAGUCCACGCCGUAAACG
rnacentral:rRNA from 1 species